CGUCAAUCAACUCUCCCGGCAACAGCAACAGCUGUGCCAGUCAGAACCGCUGAGACAUGUUCGCCAUCGACUUAAAACGCCCGUCUUCUUAAAACGGGGAGAUCCGGGGAUUUAUCGUCAACUCAAGUCAGUUUGGCUUGCUAAGUGGUCUUGGUUUCCUGGACAACUGGGACAUGGCUGAGAGGAACAAUAACGGAGCAGACAGACAUGCAGAACAUCCC